rnacentral:rRNA from 1 species
UACAGAGGUCCCAAGCGUUGUUCGGAUUCACUGGGCGUAAAGGGUGCGUAGGUGGCGCGGUAAGUCGGGUGUGAAAUUUCGGAGCUUAACUCCGAAACUGCAUUCGAUACUGGCGUGCUUGAGGACUGGAGAGGAGACUGGAAUUCAUGGUGUAGCAGUGAAAUGCGUAGAGAUCAUGAGGAAGACCAGUGGCGAAGGCGGGUCUCUGGACAGUUCCUGACACUGAGACACGAAGGCCAGGGGAGCAAACGGG